CUUCAUGUGGCUCAGUUGGUAGAGCAUGGUGCUUGCAACACCAAGUUGUAGGUUAGAUUCCCAUGGGGG
rnacentral:tRNA from 1 species